rnacentral:rRNA from 1 species
GACGAACGCUGGCGGCGUGCUUAACACAUGCAAGUCGAACGGAAAGGCCCUGCUUUUGUGGGGUGCUCGAGUGGCGAAAGGGUGAGUAACACGUGAGUAACCUGCCCUUGACUUUGGGAUAACUUCAGGAAACUGGGGCUAAUACCGGAUAGGAGCUCCUGCUGCAUGGUGGGGGUUGGAAAGUUUCGGCGGUUGGGGAUGGAUUCGCGGCUUAUCAGCUUGUUGGUGGGGUAGUGGCUUACCAAGGCUUUGACGGGUAGCCGGCCUGAGAGGGUGACCGGCCACAUUGGGACUGAGAUACGGCCCAGACUCCUACGGGAGGCAGCAGUGGGGAAUAUUGCACAAUGGGCGGAAGCCUGAUGCAGCAACGCCGCGUGCGGGAUGACGGCCUUCGGGUUGUAAACCGCUUUCGCCUGUGACGAAGCGUGAGUGACGGUAAUGGGUAAAGAAGCACCGGCUAACUACGUG